GUGGAGUUCUGGGUGGGAAGCCGAGUGCUGCCUCCAGCAAGGGUGCAAAUGUGUUUAUUCCAGAGCUACUUGGAACUGAUUGAGUAAUGAAGAAAAUGUGCCUGUAGAGUAGGUGCCUGGAGAACCAACCUCAGCUGCACUUUGACCUUUGGACCAAUUCUGCCUCUGCUUCACUAGUACUAUUUUGGCAUGAGGACAGAGCAUGCACUGAUGACUUGGGAGGGUCUUAGUACAAAGUUUGGACUCAUAGUGAUCC